ACGUGCAUACAGUGGCAUGUUCUUGUCGAUUUUUGACUUUUUGAGAUUAUGCUUCAGGUAGCUUUCUGCUACCUAUUGAUGGUUUUCAAUUGCAUUGCUGAAGGUUUUAAGUAUGAUACGAAGAAAUGGGCGUUGUUACACAGUUGAAGACCUGCACUGAGCACCACAGGAGUGAUUUCAACAGUAAUUUUACAUAUUUAAAUUGAUUUAUAUUGCAAUUGCCUCAGACCAAAACCUCACUCGGAUGUGAUUCUGCUCCCUAGUUGCAUUCUAAUUUUAUGUACUUAGUUCACCUUAUACAGUUGAAGACCAGCACUAGAAAGUUAGGAGCAAUUUCAAUAGUAAUUUUACAGUUGUAACUCAACUAGGGACUCAAAAAUUUCAGAGAGUUUGACUCAUUAUAUUAGCAUUUCUUAUAUACAUUUUCCAACUUUUUGUGCAUCA